rnacentral:misc_RNA from 1 species
CCGUGGAGCAACGAAGGGCGGCAUUCUGCGGAGGGAGCUGAUACGCCAAACAGAAGGGGGAUGGAGAGAAAAAACAAAUGAGAUAAAAAAAGCAGAACGAGAUACGCUUAUCGGAAGGCGGCAAACGGUUCCAAAGGUCCGUCGUCGUGCAAAACGAUCUCCCCAGCGCCGCAUUGUGGUUUGCGGAUUUUUGCUGUCGCAGCAGCCGUGCGUAGCAGGCAACACCGAACAGGCACCGGCGUUCGACGACGUCUGCUGCCCGAGAGGACGUAAUGCUCUCGGAUUUCAGGAUCCCAGCAGCUGUGCGCGUCACCGCAAAAUGACGUCCGCGUUCCCUGCUCUCCGGUGUUUUUGCUCAUGAUGGGGCGUAUUCCAACGCGCAGGAGGACGUUGCCCGUCGCGUCGGCGGCAUGGACGGGAUUGUAUGCGUUUCUCUGGUGUUCUGCGCUAGCGGUUGCGCAGUCGCCUGACACGUGCCCCGAGCUUCCAGAGCUCAAUAUUACAAGGAAUGGAUCCAAUAUAAUCCUACAAAGAGCAAGGCCCCCACCCUCUAGUCAAGUAAACGAGAGUAGCUGUAUCUGCUAUCCAGUCAUCGACGCUGAACAAGACUUUAAUGUCACAUGCGAAAGCGCCACAAUUGGGAAUGUUACCUGCGAUACCAUACCACUCGAUCAAGACGAAAAAAUUGAGAUUGAGAUCAACGAUGGAAUUUCUUCUAGCCAGGCGUCCGUAUGCCAUAUUUCCAACUGCGGAAAGAAGAAUUGCAGCCUUUUCGACGCCACCAAAGAUAUUGCAUCUGUCAGUGACCUGAACAUCACGUUGGUCAAUCUCUCCAUGGCUUUCGUAUCCUGGAGCGUUCAUCAACAAUACGGGCUAGGAGUAAGCCAAUUUCGCGUAACAUGGUGCACACAAGAAAUCAACUGCUCAUCAGAUGCGACUUGCUUAGAGGAAGAAUUCCUAACUUCAGAUCGCAACGUGACGGAUACGAGUACAGUCAUAGAGGAUUUGAGCCCAGCUACAAGCCUGAGGCUGCGAGUGACGCCUCUUGGUCUUCAAGGGAACUCUUCUUUUGGGUGUAUCGAAAUACCCCCUGAAGAACCUGAACGCAUCAAAACCAUAACAGCUUCUCUACACGGAUUGGAUGGUCUUCAAGUGCAGUGGACGCGGCAGGAAUCUUUCAACGCCUCAUACGAUCACUACGAGGUCCGCUACUGCGUGAUCAACGAAGAUACGCUUUGUCCAAAAGAAAAGGAACGUUACCUCAAUGAAUGCAGCAAUGCCACAUCAGAAAUCGAAAUGAAUCAGAGCAGGUACAACAUACCUAGUUUAGAGCCAAAUAGUGUGGUGAUAGUUGGAGUGGCUUCAACAAGACGCUAUCCAAUCGGAAUAGUGGCAAAAUCGAAAGAGACAGUAAACUGCUUCAAGUCGCCUGCUCCUGGAAUUAUCACAGGUUUUAGUGCCAAAGACAUCACCAGCAGAAAUGCUACUGUGCUGUGGACGUUCCAGCAAGAUGGUUACAAGGAACUGCGUCCCACUUCGUUCAACGUGACGUGGUGUGUCGCGACUAAGCAUCAGUGUCCUUCGAAUGCCUCAGCGAGCCUCGUGUGCACAGAAGACACUCAACAAACCAUGCGGACAAACGCACCCAAGCUGAACAUGAGUAGUUUGCCUGCAUGGAGUGCGCUAUUAGUGACAGUGGAAGCUUUGUACACGAACGGAAGCGAGGAGGUCUCUCUUGGGGAACCAGCUGCUUACUGCUUCCAGACGAUAGCAGAAGCUCCCGGAAAGCCAAGGGACCUGCGCAUUACUGCUCUAGAAGCGACGAGCGCUGCUUUCGAGUGGCGGGAACCGGAAGUGAAAAACGGUCCAUUGGACGGUUACAUCCUCAGUGUGUGUAGCGUGAAUGACACAGUGGAAUACAACUGCACGGAAGCUACAAGUCUACAGGUGAUGAUCAACGAUUCCUUCACGUCGGCGUACACAUUGAGCGGCCUCGAUCCGUGGACUAGGUACACGGUUACUUUGAUGGCAUUCAACAGAGAUGCUGAUGGCUCCGAGAUGGUCAGCGACGCGUCCACCGAAGUGUUCCAUACGGAGGCAGUGGCACCGGGCAGCGUAACCAGGCUCUCCGUCGUGGACGUCACGAAUCGCAGUAUCUCGUUGAACUGGAGCAAGCCUGAGUUUAGAGGUGGCAAUGUAGACCACUAUGAGAUCACACACUGCACCGUGGACAGCUGUGAAGCUGCCGCCAAAGUGUCUAGAGGACUGGAUUCAGAGUCGAGCGGCUGCCAGACUUUGCGAGAAACGACGGAGGCAACGCACCUCACCAACUUGCAGCCCUGGAAGUUUAUCGCUAUUCGUGUGGCCGCCGUGAACAUCAUGAAGAAUGGCAGCCAGCUUAUCGGGGAGGCGGCCACCCUUUGUGAGAGGACAAAAAGAGGAGUGCCCGGAAGACCAGAAGACAUGAGCACAACAGCCAACACAGACUCAAUCGAGAUCCGUUGGGAACGUCCACUUGUGCCCAAUGGAGAUGUAUCCCAGUACAAAGUCGACGUCUGCAGCCAAGAUGAGCAUAAUGAAACUAAGUGCGAAACCCGCACAGUUCUUGGACGCGAAACUCACACUCUCAUCAAACACCUGCUACCAUGGACUAUCUACUCAGUAUCAGUGGCUGCACAGAACAUUGAAGACACCACUGUGUUGGAAAGCGAAUCAGUGAGGACAACUGUGAGAACGCCUCCUGCGGCCCCCAGCAUGCCACGGAACUUGAAAACGACAGAACUACAUCACUCUAUCAGCAUCGCCUGGGAUGAGCCUGAAUUUAAACGGGGACCACUACAUGGAUAUAACAUAUCCUGGAUCAUAGAAGACUGGCUUGGCCGAAUAACGUCAGAGGGAUCGAUGGCUACAAAUAACACUGAAGCCCAGCUUUCAACAUGGAAACCAUACUCCAAUUACACAUUGUCUGUGAGAGCAUUUCAUCAGAUUGAAGAUGGCAAACCUCUCUACGGUGACGCGGCGCUGACGGCUUUCAAAACGGCUGUGGACGCUCCUGAUAAAGCAAAGCUUAACACGGUGAUAGGAUCACGAUCAGCUGCCAUUUAUUUGAGUGUGUACGGUUCUCCAAACGGACCCUUGGAUGGUUUUGUCUGGUGGAACUGCAUCAGAAGGAAGGACAGCAUGGCCCACCAUGAAAAUAAUGGCCAAGAAUUGUGCACCAGGGAAUCAAACACAACACAGCGGCUCCUGCUUCUGGAGAGUCUCAAGCCGUGGACAUGGUACACGUUCGCGGCAAGAGCCUACAACUUGGACAAAACAGGGUCAACUUUAGAGGGAAACGAGACAUGGACUCACUACAAGACGAACCCGGAUGCACCUUCGUUUCCCGGCAACUUUUCCGUGGCUCGUUGCGAGUCCAGACGCCUCUACGUCAACUGGUCUGAACCCGUCGAGAAAAACGGGGAACUCGAGGGCUACGUCCUCUCCUGGAACCUUAGUGUUGAUGGCCGUGAGGUGAACCACACGGAUAUCGGCUCGCGAAGCACGGUGAUACCAUGGCUGGAGCCGUUCACUGAGUAUGCGCUGGAACUGCGCGCCUACAAUGUGUUUCACUCGAAGCGCUUAGAGGGUCCUCCAGUUCGAAUCCUUGCUCGAACACUGCCAGAAGCACCCGGUCCUGUUGUGGGUCUAGACGCGAAGGCCUUCAAGAAUAACACCGUGCACCUCACCUGGCGUCCUCCGAUUCAGCAAAGAGGAGAGCUCCGCAGCUACGUGGUCGCCUACAACGCCACUAAGCCAGGCAAGCCAGCGAUAACGAAUGUCCCUAGCGACUUCCUGAUGGCCUCAAGUGCGUGCCAUGGAGCACCUGCUGUGUGCACCUUUGAGGUGAAGGAACUGCCAGCUGAAUACAUCUACACCUUCGACGUGCGUGGAAUCAACGUUAAUGUCACCGCUUGGGGAGAUGCACUUGAAUCGCCGGUUCGGGUGGAGGUUCCCGCUGGAGAUCCUCCGCCUCCGAAAAACAUGUCAAUGCUGGCCGGCGACGGCCCCUCCGCGCCCGAGCCGGACACUCAGAAGAUGUUCCUGAUUACCAGCGACAUGUUUGACGACAGGAACGGCGAGAUCAGACGGUACGCCGUGGUCGUUGGGUCCGCCGAGCUUAUUCGCAAAGAUGUUGAAAAUGGUACUACGUGGAAGGACCUCGCACGGAACCACCCUAUUCCUCCACACGUGGUUACACCACCAGACUGGAACCCCUUCACCAAGGCCAAAGACGACGAUGACCCGCUGAACUGCGAGCCACUGCGAGGCCGAGAACGAACUCUCAUGUGCACCAUCGGCUAUGAAAGUUGUGACGAUGACCGGGAGACCCCCUGCAAUGGGCCUUUGAGAGGUGGAACAGAAUACGCGAUGUACGUCAUCGGGUACACAAAAGGUGGGAGGCGUGCCAGUACUCCUGAGGUGUUCGUUACAGCGCUUCCAGAGGAGCCCAGUUCCGCAGGAGCAAUCGCAGGUGGUAUACUGACCGCCAUCAUAAUAAUGGCUGCCAUCCUUGUGGUGCUUGUGAUUCACAGGAGGCGGCUGGCGCGAAGCAAGCGAGCUCGAAGAGACCGUCUGCCGAAGCCAGCAACAUGAAUAAUUCCCUCGUGCAUUUGGUACAGAUGUCCGAUGUAAAUGGGUCGACAACAAAGCCCAGCCCUCCGAUGGUGCAGGACGAACAGAUAGAAAUGCAACACCACGUCAUCAAAGACAUCAACAAACCCAUACCUAAGGCAGAGUUCCGGGACCACCUUGCGAUGAUGAUGAAGGAUUCAGCCUACAGGUUCGCCGACGAGUACGAG